rnacentral:sRNA from 1 species
GUACAGCAGGACUCUAUGGUAUCAACUGUUCUUCAAGAUGUUCAGACCAGUGUCUAAAUCCGACUUGCGAUGCAAUAACUGGGCAUUGUAUUCGUUGUAGAGAAGGAUUUCAAGGUUUAUUUUGUGAGCAAGUAAUCAAGAAAAGUGAUGGUUUCUCUGAACAGACCAUUAUAGCUAUCACAGUCUCGUUAGCAUCAGCAGCUUUGAUAGCUUUAGUGAUCUUUCUAAUAGCCUUAAAAGCCACAGGAAAAUUAUGUUUUGAACAUAAGGAAAACAU